CACAUACCCCUUAUUCUUGGAAGAACCACUCUAAAAACUUUCGACGCAUUCAUUGAUCAAUUGUAAGAACGAUACAAUCAGUCAUCGAAAAACAGGAGGGCUUGAACUACAAUUAUUGAAAAAAUUUAAUAUUUGGGUGGGUACUAUCCGUGCGCUAAGUAAAUCGGGCUGGUGGCAACACAAAAUAAUACUCGCGGGUUAAAGGCAUCGAUUAUACCGACACUUUUGCUCCUGUUGCUAAGAUGACUACAGUUCGGGCAUUCCUUUUAGUUGCUACUGUUAAAAAUUGGAAAUUCUAUCGGAUGGAUGUUCACAAUGCCUUUCUACAUGGUGACUUGUUUGAGGAGGUUUACAUGAGGAUGCCUCCUGGUUUUCAAGGUACUCUUUCUGAGAGGUGCAAUUCAAUUGAGUAUUCUCAUCUGUGUAGACGAUUUGAUUAUCUCCGGUAAUGAUUCCGCUGCUCCUAAUGCUUUCAAGCAAUAUUUGUGUUUUUAUUUUCAUAUGAAAGAUCUUGAGGUUCUUAAGUAUUUUCUGGGUAUUGAAGUUAGCUCGAAGUUCAGAGGGUAUUUACUUGUGCCAAAGAAAAUAUACUCUUGAUAUUAUUAUUGUUGAGACUAGAAAUCUUGGUUCAAAACCUGCUACCUUUUCCAUGGAGCCUAAUCAUAAACUUGUGUUGUCUGUGAGUCCACUUCUUGAAAAUGUAGAGCGGUAUCGUCGGUUAGUUGAGCGAUUAAUAUAUUUAUCAUUUACUAGAUCUAACUUGGCGUACUCUGUUCAUGUGCUAUCACAAUUUCUUCCUACUCCUCGUCGUGAUCAUUGGGACGCGGCAGUUCGUGUUGUUCGCUAUCUCAAGGGGUGUUCAGGUCAAGGUAUUCUUCUCCGCUCUGUGACUUGUCUUUGUCUGGUUGGUGUGAUUCUGAUUGGGCCACUUGUCCGCUCACACGUCGCUCUGUCAUGGAAUGGUUGGUUUUUCUUGGGCAUUCUCCUAUUUCUUGGAAGACAAAGAAACAAGUCACUAUGUCUAGAUUUUCAGCUGAAGCAUAUUAUCGUUCUAUGGUUGCUGUCACAUGUGAGCUUAAGUAGUUGAAAGGUCUUCUUCUUAGUUUGGGGGUGCAUCACCCAAAAGCAAUGAAGUUAUAUUGUGAUAGUAAAUCUACUCUAUAUAUUGCGCAUAAUCCAGCAUUUCAUAAACGUACGAAACAUGUUGAAAUUGAUUGUCAUUUUGUUCGAGAUGCCAUUCAAAAUGGUUUCAUUAGUCCUUUUCAUGUCCCUACUACCGUUCAAUUCGUAAACAUUUUUACAAAGGCUUUGGGUCAAAGAUAAUUUUUGUUUCUUCUUAGCAAGUUGGGCAAUUGAAUUUUACAUACUCCAAAGGGAUGUUAAGGUUAUUCGGUGUAUUAUUAUUAAGUCAUUGUAUAGCCAGCCCAUUGAGUAAAUCAUUUAGAAUACACUUGUAUUUAAACACUUUGAAUCACAAUGACAGGCAAGGAAAAUUUCCCCAACAGUUGCCCAUUUUAAGGUUUUUUUAGUGUUAAUUAGAAUAUGGUGGAUAUGCAAAUCCAAACAUAAAACCCGAAUCCAUGUCCUCGCCCAUGCCGGGCAUGUCAUCGGGCCCAAAAGCAAAGUUGUCACUUUUUGAGCAUCAGUUUUAGAAGCAGCACUAAUACCAGACAUUUUACUCAGUAAACUUCCUAAAGCGUCCCCGUAACACUUCAAAUGGCUGCACCAUUGAAAACAGACGCCUCGAUUUCUCGUAACCAUUUGUAAGAUCAUGAUCAUAGUCCGUAGGAGGAUAUGCUCAGCACAAAAAACGAUUUUUGCACUUAAGGAUGUGAUCACAAUCACAAUCCAAAACAAAUUCAAGAAACGACCAUCCAAGGAGCUAUGACGAUAUUUCUUCAUUUUUUUUUUAUUUAUUUGAAUGUAAGAUUAAUUUUGAACUUGAAUUUGAUGAGUUUUCUUUAGGAGUUUCUAUUCUAAUAUAUAUAGAGGUUUCUUGAACCUAAUCUUA